UAACUUAUGAGUUUAAAUUCCCUAUCUUGUGACAUCCCCCCUCCCGCGCCGUGCCCGUGUCCGGUGUGCGCCUUUAUGAUGCCUUUGAUCCCACAGGGGGACGGCGUGCAGCCUGGGGAUGAUGGCGGGGCGGGCCGGCUCCUUCACCGGCAGCCUCGUGUUCGGCCUGCUCCUCAGCACGCAGUGCUCGGCCGCCCUCUGCGGCCUGGGCGCCCUCCUCGUGGUGAGCGGCGCCCUCAGCCUGCUGCUGCCGCGCAGGGGCCUCUACGCCACGUGAUGACCCUCCCCGGAGCCUGGAGCCUGGAGCUUCCAGGACUGGCUCGGCUCGUCUCUCGCCCUCGACUUAUAAACACUGCCACCCCAUU